rnacentral:rRNA from 1 species
UACGGGAGGCAGCAGGGGGGAAUUUUUCGCCAAUGGGCGAAAGCCUGACGGAGCAAUACCGCGUGAAGGAAAGACGGCCUAUGGGUUGUAAACUUCUUUUUUCAGGGAGGAACUCAAUGACGUGUACCUGAAAAAUAAGCGUCGGCUAACUCCGUGCCGCAGCCGCG